ensembl:lncRNA
CUUCUGUUUGCAGAAACUGGAAACUUCAGAGUACAUUUUAUCUUAAGUUCGAAAAUCUCUUUUGUUUCCUCAUCAGGGGCCGUAUUCACAAAGGAUUUUAGGGCUAAAAGUAGGUCCUAACUGGCGAAUUUAGGAGUAACUCCUAAAAAUAAUGGGCGUGUCACUCUUAAAUUUAGGACUCCUAACUUUUUUCACUAAGAACAAUUCACAAAGUAUUUUAGGACUAAAAGUAGCACCUAAGUCUAGGAGAGCUUAAAAGUCCUCAAGAGGACUCCUAACUCAGUAAGACCUAUUCACAAAGAAUCGUAAAUGCCUGCGAGACGAAAUGUUAGGGUAUUAAACUUGUUGUGGAGUUAAUCGCAAUGCAAUAACAUCCCCGACUAACAGGAAUAAUCCGAUUAGUCCCGAAAUAAAAUGUUUGGCCACACUACGUUAUUUAGCAACAGGUGAAAUGCAACUUUUCAAUGCCGACGAUUUAAAAAUAUCGCAACCAUCAGUCAGCCGUGCUAUAAACUUUCCUUUGGAUAUUCAACAAUUACACAGGAUCAAAGCCAACUUCAUGGCAAUUGCAGGUAUGCCCGGUGUGGUCGGUGCUAUUGACGGGACGCACAUAAAAAUAAUUGCGCCAUCAAAAGACGAGGACGUGUUCGUCAAUAGGAAGAAAGUGCAUUCCAUCAACACGCAGGUUGUUUUUGAUGCAAAUUUUAACAUAGCCUACUGGAUGUUGUUGCAAAGUGGCCUGGAUCUUCAGCUACCCAUGAUUAGCGCAUUUUAAUGGAGAGCGGUCUGAGGCAGCUUUUUGAGAUGUACCAGUUGGGUGUCACUUGCUGGGAGACAGUGACUAUCAAUGCAAGACGUGGCUCUAGACACCCUACCUCAAUCCACAACCGGGAGCGCAGUUAAAGUAUAACAUAGCACACAAACAUACACGAAAUGUUGUGGAGAGAGGAUUUGGGCUGAUGAAACGUCGGUUCAUGUCCUCCACGGCGAAAUACGCCUCACCCCAGAGAGGGCAAGCACAGUCAUUACUGUAUGUGCCAUUCUACACAACCUCUGCAAGCGGAGGAACAUUCCACAGCCAGACGAUGAUGAUGAUGAUGAUGAUGGCGAUCAACAUGACAAUGAAUUUGGCCGUGUGGAACCGAGUGGACUGGCAUUUAGGGAUCACUUUGAAAACACAUUUUAGGUAAACACCCUGCCUUGGCACAAAUCAGUCUACACUUGUGUAGUUCAUAACAUUUCUUUUCUUUUAAAUUGUACGUAUUUUUAUUGUUAUGCUUUCUCUCUCUCUCUUGAACGUGCAGGCUACAACGUCAUUAUCGUGGUCUGCACAAAAUUGUCAUCAUGCGUGUAUUCUGCUAACUGCACUAUAACUACUUAAUAGGGAUUCAUUUCUAGCCUAGGCUAUUUCCUUGUUUUUCGGUGAUUCAGUGGGCUCGUCUGAACAACCAAUCACCGAACUGACUGCUUCUAAACUCGUGCACGAGAAUUGACGUAAUCCAUAGCAACGGCGCGUCACUCUUAGUUCACUCUUUGUGAUUUAUCCUUAGUAAGAGUAGGUCUCAGCGGCUUUGUGAAUAACUUUUAAGAAAAAACUCCUACGUAAAAUGUUUUAGCGCGAGUUAGGAGCACUCCUAGCGGUAAGAUAAAAUGCUUUGUGAAUACGGCCCCAGAUCCCAGUCCAUCAUGCUCCCCUACUUGUCUGCCGUGCCACCAUCAUGCCUCAUGCAUCACCUCCGGAAUAAGAUGCAGCGCCCUGCAGCUGCAUCUUAUUCCGUUACUCCAGCUCUUUCCAGCUAUUUCACAAAAGUGACAAACACGCUCCCCCCAAGUGUUUUCGAUCUAUUAUUAAUUAUACAUGUAAGGUGUGCUGAAAGGUGCCCAUCAAUAAAAUGCAUUUUAUUAAUAUUUUUAUUAAUAGAACAUUAUGGCUCCAUCAAAAGCAAAGUACACCUGCCAUUUACAGUUAUCAUUUAUACUAUCCUAGACAUCUUUAAUCUUAUUUACAUAGGCCUACAGUAGGCCUGAUUUCCUCUGAUUGUUCAAAUAAAAAAAUUCCCUGUCCAUGUCAGAUCCCUGUCCAUCAUACUCCUGUUGUUGUCUUCCUGCACACCUGACUGCCUCCUCCAUCGAUUGCGGCCACAGCCCUCUCCCUGUAAAAUAUUUCAUGUUAAAUACAUUUCAGGAUCAAGUUUGAGAUUCAGUUUCAGUAUUACUUGGUUUUGAAACCUGACGUGGGGCUGGCACCGCCACCAUCAUAUCUGUCUUAUUUAUUGCACCCACACAUAAUAGCUCCAUGAUACCAUGUGGGGUCAUUUCAGACUCCUUUGCUUCCUAACACCUUGUGAGUUCCCUGGGUACACCGGCUGAUGGGUCUGUGUAUAUAUUGGGCAUUUGAUUCUCGUUUCAGAAACAGAAAUAUAUAAAAAAAAUGAGUGGUAAUUAUUAUUUCUGUUUUAACAUUCAAAAAGGUAUAUACAAGGUGCUUUUCUUAU